rnacentral:tRNA from 1 species
GCCCGGGUGGUGGAAUUGGUAGACACGUACGUUUGAGGGGCGUAUGCCGAAAGGUGUGCAGGUUCAAAUCCUGUCCCGGGCA